GGCCAAAGGUAAACCCAAGGCUUGCUUUUGUUGUUUAGUUGCUGAAUCCUGUUCGACUCUUUUGGACGCCGUGGACUGUAACCCGCCAGGUUCCUCUGUCUGUGGGAUUCCCCAGGGAUUUGGCCAAGAUGGUUUUUACAAGCGGAGCAGUACUGGCAAGAUGAUCCUCUGGAUGGCAUUCAGCUUGCUUCCUUUCCAGUCCUCGGUUUGUUGGUUUCUGGCAACUGUUCCAUAGACACCUCCGGGAUUCAGACAUGACUAGUGAACGGAGACUAGAGGCACACCUGGAGCAGGAGAUCUUCCCAUCCCAGGGAUUGAACUCGGGUCUCCUGCAUUGUAGGCAGACCCUUUACCACCUGAGCCACCAGGGAAGUCCAUGACAUGACGGUGCCCUUAAAGACUGGAUGCCAUUUCUCAACUCACCCGCUGGAUUGAUAAACCUGGAAAAGAGUGAUAAUUCCUAAAGCCUGUAAAGAUGCAGGGAGAUAAACAUUGUAUACAUUGGUAAUGAGACUAUGAAUCGUUGCAAACUUUUCUGAGAGCGGGCCAUCAGUAUUGAUUAAAGUUGUAAGUACAGGACUUCCCUGGUGGUCCAGUGGUUAAGAAUCCACCAGCCAAUGCAGGGGACAUGGCUUCCAUCUCUGGUCUUGGAAGAUUCCACAGGCCUCGGGGCAGCGAAGCCCCUGCACCCCAACUACUGAAUCCCCUGUGCCCUAGAGCCUGUGCUCCGGAAUAAGAGAAGCCACCGCAAUGAGAAACCAACACACCACAACUGGAGAGUAGACCGUCCACUACAACUAGAGAAAGUCCACGCACGACAACCAAGACCCAACAUGGCCAAAAAUCAAGAAAAUUUUUAAAAACUGGGAGCUUCCCAACCCAAGGAUAGAAACUGGGUCUCCUGCAG
ensembl:lncRNA